rnacentral:rRNA from 1 species
CCUACGGGAGGCAGCAGUAGGGAAUAUUGCUCAAUGGGGGAAACCCUGAAGCAGCAACGCCGCGUGGAGGAUGAAGGCUUUCGGAUUGUAAACUCCUUUUGUUAGAGAAGAUAAUGACGGUAUCUAACGAAUAAGCACCGGCUAACUCCGUGCCAGCAGCCGCGGUAAUACGGAGGGUGCAAGCGGUACUCGGAAUCACUGGUGGUAAAGUGCGCGUAGGCGGGAGAGCAAGUCAGAUGUGAAAUCCUAGGGCUUAACCAGAGAACUGAAUUUGAAACUGGUAUGCUAGAGUAUAGGAGAGGUAGGUAGAAUUCUAGGUGUAGGGGUAAAAUCCGUAGAGAUCAAGAGGAAUACUCGUGGCGAAGGCGACCUGCUAGAACAUAACUGACGCUGAUGCGCGAAAGCGUGGGGAGCAAACAGGAUUAGAUACCCGAGUAGUC